AUGGAUUUCAAGUUGGAUGAGAGCUACACGCUGAGCAAGAUCUCCAUCUGGACUGGCGACGGCUUCCACAAUCUCAGGACAAUUCCUCUUUUCUGA
rnacentral:rRNA from 1 species